AGCGUACACGGUGGAUGCCCUGGCAGUCAGAGGCGAUGAAGGACGUGCUAAUCUGCGAUAAGCGUCGGUAAGGUGAUAUGAACCGUUAUAACCGGCGAUUUCCGAAUGGGGAAACCCAGUGUGAUUCGUCACACUAUCAUUAACUGAAUCCAUAGGUUAAUGAGGCGAACCGGGGGAACUGAAACAUCUAAGUACCCCGAGGAAAAGAAAUCAACCGAGAUUCCCCCAGUAGCGGCGAGCGAACGGGGAGGAGCCCAGAGCCUGAAUCAGUGUGUGUGUUAGUGGAAGCGUCUGGAAAGGCGCGCGAUACAGGGUGACAGCCCCGUACACAAAAAUGCACAUACUGUGAGCUCGAUGAGUAGGGCGGGACACGUGGUAUCCUGUCUGAAUAUGGGGGGACCAUCCUCCAAGGCUAAAUACUCCUGACUGACCGAUAGUGAACCAGUACCGUGAGGGAAAGGCGAAAAGAACCCCGGCGAGGGGAGUGAAAAAGAACCUGAAACCGUGUACGUACAAGCAGUGGGAGCCUCUUUUAUGGGGUGACUGCGUACCUUUUGUAUAAUGGGUCAGCGACUUAUAUUCUGUAGCAAGGUUAACCGAAUAGGGGAGCCGAAGGGAAACCGAGUCUUAACCGGGCGUUAAGUUGCAGGGUAUAGACCCGAAACCCGGUGAUCUAGCCAUGGGCAGGUUGAAGGUUGGGUAACACUAACUGGAGGACCGAACCGACUAAUGUUGAAAAAUUAGCGGAUGACUUGUGGCUGGGGGUGAAAGGCCAAUCAAACCGGGAGAUAGCUGGUUCUCCCCGAAAGCUAUUUAGGUAGCGCCUCGUGAAUUCAUCUCCGGGGGUAGAGCACUGUUUCGGCAAGGGGGUCAUCCCGACUUACCAACCCGAUGCAAACUGCGAAUACCGGAGAAUGUUAUCACGGGAGACACACGGCGGGUGCUAACGUCCGUCGUGAAGAGGGAAACAACCCAGACCGCCAGCUAAGGUCCCAAAGUCAUGGUUAAGUGGGAAACGAUGUGGGAAGGCCCAGACAGCCAGGAUGUUGGCUUAGAAGCAGCCAUCAUUUAAAGAAAGCGUAAUAGCUCACUGGUCGAGUCGGCCUGCGCGGAAGAUGUAACGGGGCUAAACCAUGCACCGAAGCUGCGGCAGCGACACUGUGUGUUGUUGGGUAGGGGAGCGUUCUGUAAGCCUGUGAAGGUGUGCUGUGAGGCAUGCUGGAGGUAUCAGAAGUGCGAAUGCUGACAUAAGUAACGAUAAAGCGGGUGAAAAGCCCGCUCGCCGGAAGACCAAGGGUUCCUGUCCAACGUUAAUCGGGGCAGGGUGAGUCGACCCCUAAGGCGAGGCCGAAAGGCGUAGUCGAUGGGAAACAGGUUAAUAUUCCUGUACUUGGUGUUACUGCGAAGGGGGGACGGAGAAGGCUAUGUUGGCCGGGCGACGGUUGUCCCGGUUUAAGCGUGUAGGCUGGUUUUCCAGGCAAAUCCGGAAAAUCAAGGCUGAGGCGUGAUGACGAGGCACUACGGUGCUGAAGCAACAAAUGCCCUGCUUCCAGGAAAAGCCUCUAAGCAUCAGGUAACAUCAAAUCGUACCCCAAACCGACACAGGUGGUCAGGUAGAGAAUACCAAGGCGCUUGAGAGAACUCGGGUGAAGGAACUAGGCAAAAUGGUGCCGUAACUUCGGGAGAAGGCACGCUGAUAUGUAGGUGAAGUCCCUCGCGGAUGGAGCUGAAAUCAGUCGAAGAUACCAGCUGGCUGCAACUGUUUAUUAAAAACACAGCACUGUGCAAACACGAAAGUGGACGUAUACGGUGUGACGCCUGCCCGGUGCCGGAAGGUUAAUUGAUGGGGUCAGCGCAAGCGAAGCUCUUGAUCGAAGCCCCGGUAAACGGCGGCCGUAACUAUAACGGUCCUAAGGUAGCGAAAUUCCUUGUCGGGUAAGUUCCGACCUGCACGAAUGGCGUAAUGAUGGCCAGGCUGUCUCCACCCGAGACUCAGUGAAAUUGAACUCGCUGUGAAGAUGCAGUGUACCCGCGGCAAGACGGAAAGACCCCGUGAACCUUUACUAUAGCUUGACACUGAACAUUGAGCCUUGAUGUGUAGGAUAGGUGGGAGGCUUUGAAGUGUGGACGCCAGUCUGCAUGGAGCCGACCUUGAAAUACCACCCUUUAAUGUUUGAUGUUCUAACGUGGACCCGUGAUCCGGGUUGCGGACAGUGUCUGGUGGGUAGUUUGACUGGGGCGGUCUCCUCCUAAAGAGUAACGGAGGAGCACGAAGGUUGGCUAAUCCUGGUCGGACAUCAGGAGGUUAGUGCAAUGGCAUAAGCCAGCUUGACUGCGAGCGUGACGGCGCGAGCAGGUGCGAAAGCAGGUCAUAGUGAUCCGGUGGUUCUGAAUGGAAGGGCCAUCGCUCAACGGAUAAAAGGUACUCCGGGGAUAACAGGCUGAUACCGCCCAAGAGUUCAUAUCGACGGCGGUGUUUGGCACCUCGAUGUCGGCUCAUCACAUCCUGGGGCUGAAGUAGGUCCCAAGGGUAUGGCUGUUCGCCAUUUAAAGUGGUACGCGAGCUGGGUUUAGAACGUCGUGAGACAGUUCGGUCCCUAUCUGCCGUGGGCGCUGGAGAACUGAGGGGGGCUGCUCCUAGUACGAGAGGACCGGAGUGGACGCAUCACUGGUGUUCGGGUUGUCAUGCCAAUGGCACUGCCCGGUAGCUAAAUGCGGAAGAGAUAAGUGCUGAAAGCAUCUAAGCACGAAACUUGCCCCGAGAUGAGUUCU
rnacentral:rRNA from 1 species